rnacentral:rRNA from 1 species
GACGAACGCUGGCGGCGUGCUUAACACAUGCCAGUCGAACGGAAAGGCCUGCUUUCCCUUGUGGAUUGCGGGUACUCGAGUGGCGAACGGGUGCGUAACACGUGAGUGAUCUGCCCCCAACUUGGGUAUAAGCCUGGGAAACUGGGUCUAAUUCCCGAUAGGACUGCAGGGUGGUGCCUGUGGUGGAAAACGAUUUUCUAGUGGUUGGGGAUGAGCUCGCGGCCUAUCAGCUUGUUGGUGGGGUAAUGGCCUACCAAGGCGGCGACGGGUAGCCGGCCUGGGAGGGUGGACGGCCACAUUGGGACUGGGAUAAGGCCCAGACUGCUACGGGAGGCAGCAGUGGGGAAUAUUGGACAAUGGGCGGAAGCCUGAUGCAGCGACGCCGCGUGGGGGAUGACGGCCUUCGGGUUGUAAACUCCUUUCGACCGCGAGGAAGCCACCUGGUUGGAAGGGUGGUGACGGUAGUGGUAGAAGAAGCACCGGCUAACUACGUG